rnacentral:misc_RNA from 1 species
GCUGAUUCCUUUUGAAGCGAUCCUGUUCUUAACAUUAGAUAAAUAUGCACAUCCAAAACUAUAGAAUAGGAGGAAAGAAAAUUUUCUAAUUAUUAUGAAGCCGGAAAGAACUUAAAAGGAACAUACAGAAGCCGUGAAAAUGGCGAUCUGGUGAAGUUUCAAAGAGAGUAAGAGCAAUAGUUCUAAGGGAAUAGAACCUAUAAAAUGUGAGGUAAAUGUGCUAUAUUAGACUGUGACCACUGCAGUAAAGAGUGUGAUUCCUUAUGAUUGUAAUGACACUAGCAUACCUUCAAUUCUUGACAAUAAUGCAACUGUGACUGCAACUCCGGCAACCAAAUCGUUUUCUUAGAUAAGAAUCUUCUAAUAAGGUGCUGUCUGGCUUGCGUACAGAACUUUGAAUCCUUCUCCAUCUGCAAGCAUGAACUUUUUGAGAAAUCUAUUUACACUGAUUUUGUUUAAGCCUUGACAUGAAAGCUACCCUAGCUAUGAGUCGUUUAAAUCUGUCAGCUCCUGGACCAGGUUUAAUAUUAUUCAGGUCCCCAACCUUGGAACAUUUGGGACUAUCAGAGCACCAUCCACCGGGAGUGAAGCCCCCAUUUUUCCGGCCAAGUAAAUCCUUAUCAAUCUUAUCCAAGACAGGGUCAUCUUGUUUGAAUUUUCUAGCAAAGGCAGCACCACUUUCAAUCAUUUUCCUUGUGUCAUUAAGGGAAAGGGUGUGUGGGUGCUGCUUGGGGGGCAUGUCCCAAGAAAUGUAGUGCAAAUCAUGAUUGACAGCCGUCUGAGCAAACUCUGGCACAUUGCAUAUUACAGUGUGAAAAUAGCCUUCAGGAGAGGAGACGAAGUUCGUAUAGUACAUGAGUAAGAUUCUUGGUAGAUUAUCCCAACCCCAAAUUAAGUACUCUACGAAUGGGCGUGUGAGAACCAUCCAUGCCGAACCAGUGAAUAAUUUGAAUGCUGUUGGCAAACCUCUACGUGGUGUGGCCCAGUAUAUAUCCGUCUUUGUUGUUGAGUAGAGCCCAGGAUCUAUAAUCAAAGGCAUUGCUCGUUUAUCCUCCUUCCAACCCAACUGACUAGUGUGCUCAAUAAAGUUCAGAUUUCGGUUUAUGGUUGAAAAUGUAUCAAGAAGAUCAUCUUGAGUUAUAAGAGGAUAAUCAGAAGCACUGAGAUUGAUAAACCAAUCCCAAUCUUUACUCCUCUUAAGAAGAAUUGCACAAGCAUGAAGUGUAUUAGCAACCAUCGUAGGUCCUCUAUAAGUAACCAUAUUAGCUUUAGUGAUCAUAUAAACAUUCCCAACUUUGGAGAAAAGGGGAUGUUUUUCAAUGCGCGAAGAAAGCUCCAAUCUUUCCUCUGCUGGAGAUUCAAGGUCCAAAUGAACAACAUAUUGAUUCCUUGGAUGGUAAAGUGCGUGAAGAGUUCUCCAAAGCUUUUCCAAAUCACCUUUAGACCCAGAAAUCAAGUAAGCAAAUCGAGGAAUUCCAGGAGUCUGAGUGGGAGUUGUUUGUGAAACCUUAAUUUCAGCAUAGCCAUCCAGUGAUUGGUUUCGAGAAGGAAAAAUGUUGAAGAUUUGGUUGAUAGUAUGUAGCGAAGAAAUAAGACCCAUGUUGAAUGAAGUUGCCAAAAGGAACACACAUAUCAGAGAGCUUAUGACUAAAGGGAAAACCCAUUUCUUCUCCAUGUUUAGAGACCCCAUUGCAAGACCUUAUCAUGGGUUCUGAUAACUGAUCUUCACAUCCCAGAUUUGGUUAUUCCUCCACCAUCUCAGAUAACCCAGAUCGAAUGGAAUACCAAACAAUAUUCUCGUGUUGCGGAUACUAUAAUCGAAACUUUCCUCAAAAAAAUUCCAAAACCUGAACUGUAAAUAAAGCUGUUGAAUCAACAACCAACAAAAAAUAUUAUAUCAGAAUUAUGUGCCUGCUAAAAAGGAAAUUGAAGAUUGCGUGAACAUCUAGUUAGUUUAUGUAAUCGAAAUACUGACAGAAAGGAUGAAGUUAAAAUAUUAUAUAAAAAAUUAUAGAAAAAUAGGUGGGGUAGAGAGUAUGUUCGUAUGUUUGUAUGUUUAAAAAAAUACUCAUCAAAAGAGACACAAUAUGCAUCAAGAAAAUCGACCAAUUACCAAUAAAUUAAUCGAGAAAAACAAUUAGUUAAAUCUUCAUUAUCAAUGAGCUAUUAGGUGUCCAACUCCCAAGGGAAACCAUUGACAAGGAUACAAAUUACCAAUCUGUACAAUGGGAAAUCUUUCUAUCAUUCGUUGUAGAUCCCAGCAUAUGUAAAAACAAUCCUGCAGUUUUUCUUGAUAACCUUCAAGAGCUACGUGGGACUGGGAGUUCAAGGACGAAGAACAAGAGAAGCUUGAGAGAGAGAGAGAGACCCGUAACUUAUGAUUAAAUAAAUCAGAAAAUAAGAUAUGAGAGAGAGAGAGAGAACUUUAAGGAAAUCAAGAAUAUUCUAUAUUCAGUAAUGGUAUCUCCAAUACAGCGCUCAUCAAGCUUUUAUAGUUUUUGGAAAUGGAUCAACAAAACUCAACUCAACUUAACUCAACCUUUAUCCCAAAAAUU